UACGAAGGGGGCUAGCGUUGCUCGGAAUCACUGGGCGUAAAGGGUGCGUAGGCGGGUCUUUAAGUCAGGGGUGAAAUCUUUCGGCUCAACCGGAAAAGUGCCCUUGAUACUGACUGUCUGGAGGGAGGUAGGGGCGUGCGGAACUUCCGGUGGAGCGGUGAAAUGCGUUGAUAUCGGAAGGAACACCGGUGGCGAAAGCGGCGCGCUGGACCUCUACUGACGCUGAGGCGCGAAAGCCAGGGGAGCAA
rnacentral:rRNA from 1 species